GAUAACCCUUUCAGUGAAAAAAUUUCUUCUGUAAAUUGGGAAGGAAAGUGGGUAGAAUUAUUUAAGUUGCACUUCCUUAGCAGCAUGGGAAUUGGCUACAGUAAAUCUCAAAAGAGUGACUGCAUUAUUGUUCUCCCGUCCAGGCUGAAUACCUAUUUAGGUUAAAAAUAGCUAGAAAUUGUAUCUUGCCAAGCUGUGGUGCUAGGUCUUUUUGUCUGCCUUAAGCAUUUCUCCAAGAGUAAAGGUCAAUAAUGAUCUAAGAAAGAUGUAUUUUAUGGUGAAUUUAAAUGCUUUUGAAAUGUAAUGUUGCAAAAGCUCUGCAUCAAUUAAAACAUUAUAUCUAAACUUUGUUCUUCUGAUUUCUGUCUAUUAAGUCAACAACACUUUACUAGGCGCUCUGUGGCAACACUUUGGAGCACCAUUUCUCCAAUUACAACUGAUAUUAGCGUAGCUGAUAAAGACAAUUAUGCCUGGAAAUAAUGAAUUGUGUUAACGUAGCCCAAGUUGUAUGCAUAUCUAGGCAUGCACCACCUUCCUGGCCUGCUGCUGUAGCUAAAGGAUCGUGGGCGUGGGUGUGCUCGGUUCCGUGUGUGCAACACCAGAGCGAGAACCAGAAGGAGCACCUGAGCCAAAGGAACAGGGUAGGGAAUGGCCACGUGGUCAUUGUCUUUUGUAUUUGACAUUUUCGAUCUAACAGGAGAAAAAAAAAUCAAUAUAGGGACCUGAAUCGAUCUCUGAUGUAAUGCUAUUAAAAUGUAAUGAUACAUUCAGAAGGUAAUCUGGUACUUCCUGGCAGAACUGAGGGAAGACAUGACAACUGUAUGUUUGUUCUUUUGUUCUGUAACUAAACUCAGCUCUUCAGUCCUCUCACCCCUGCAGAAGUCCUCUCUGUCAUUAUUAUCUUCAGAUAGUGAAAACCAACAACGUAACUCCACUGGAAGAAGGCAUCCUGGCUGCUUGGCUGCAAAGCUGCUGUACAACCACGAUGCAAACCGAGCAUAUUCAGAGGGGAAGAACACACAUGAUACGAUCAAAUUCUCUUUUCUGGCAUCUCUUGUACCAACAAGCAUUGUCCUACCAGCGCUUCCCAGGGUACUGAUAAAAAUCCAGACUUAAUUACUUGCCCUCCAUUACUGGGUGGAACCCUCAACCUCUUCAUACCCACAGUACGAAUUUUCAUCGAGCAGGAAUGUGCUGGCCAUUUACUGAAGUGGUGAACUGAGGAGUUCAGAGCACAACGGAGGUUUCCUAAGCGGAGGAAGAUAAGGCAAAGGAGCUCUCAUUCUUCCAAGGCACAGAUUUUUAUCAUAUCCCAAAAGCAAGCAGCUGAAGAUUCCAGUCACGAAGGACUGUGCUUUGAGAACGGGUUGGACUGCCUGCCCUUUCCUCCAGGACUGACUACCGGAUCCCAUUCAGGAUGAAAACAAGUUCUUAAACAGGUUAUACCUACUGCUAUGGCUCACUGCCAUUGUCAGAGGCUGAAGGCUUUUACAUACCUAAUUCUCCGUAGG